rnacentral:misc_RNA from 1 species
AAGUCGUAACAAGGUUUCCGUAGGUGAACCUGCGGAAGGAUCAUUAACACUUUUCAAAACUCAAAAUUUCCCUUUUGAAUCCCUCUCUUUUCUUUCUUCUCUCUUCGGAGGGAGGAAGUCAAGAGAUUUUCAAAUUUAAUUUGAACAAAAAUGUGUAACCUUACUUUUUUACUUAUGGAUUUGAGGACAGAGGACGAGGGGGUUUUCAACUCUCUCUCUCUUCGUGGUUCUCAGAUUUUCUCAUAAACCAGUUAAACCCAAUAAAUCAAAAUAUGGCGUAUCUCAAAGGGACUUUUUGUCUCUCUGACGAUCCCCCAUAGUUAAACCAAAAACAAAAAACCAAAAACAAAAAACUAAAAAAUAAAACACAACUCUUAACAAUGGAUAUCUUGGUUCUCGC